rnacentral:ncRNA from 2 species
AUCGGACUCGGGGAAGAGUCCCCGUCCCACGCCAACAGCGCGGGGCAGGGCACCGAAGGGGCAAGCCGUUGGCGUGUGCAACGCGCGGCGAAUCUCUCAGGUCUCCAAGACCCCGGGUCUCUC